AUGCCAGUGGCGGAGAUGGUAGAAAGUGCCUUCAAUUUCAAAAAGUUGCCGGAUCAGUGUGAGAACCAGGAACUUGAGGUUACUGAGGAAUUGCUAUACCACCAGUGUAUGGUCAGCUUCUAGCUUUAUAUUUGCUCCAUAAUGACAUGAAUAAUGCAAGAUAUCUUUGGAAAAGAAUACCACCUGCUAUAAAAUCUGCAAAUUCUGAGCUUGGGGGAAAUUGGUCAGUAGGACAAAGAAUCUGGCGAGAGCUUUCCCUGGGAUCUAUACAACCAUCAAUGUUCACCAGUGGCCUGAGAUGGUCCAGCCAAACAAUCAGGUAAGCACUUAGAGAUGGGACAAGGAGACGAGCAUUCAUCCUGGUCUCCCAAGCAUGCAUCUCAAUAGUAGCCAAUGACUUUGCAGCCUUCAUUGGACUUCCUGUAGAAGUCGUGAAAGGUAUAUUAGAACAAGGAUGGCAGGGUGACUCCACCACAAGAAUAGUUCUGCCCAGAAAGCCAGCUGCAGGAGCCCUGGAUGCUUCCUUUAAUAAGUUUGCACCAGUUUCUCCAAUCCCGAAUGAACAGCAGUUAGCCAGACUGACCAAUUACGUGACUUUCCUUGAAAACUAAUUUAUCACCCUGAGUUCAAGAUCCACCUUCAGAAUUCUGUACACUGACAAAUUUAGAAAUGCAAAAUUUUUAUUUUCAAUUUAUUGGAUGGAUUAAGCACCUCAGCAUUCCUUACUAUGUGAUAAAAGACAUAUAUAAUAUAAAAUAUAUUAUAUAUGUUUUGUCCUAAAACAUUAUGCUGAACAAUUGUUGAAACAAUGCUCAUUUUGUAAUAUUUAAUGAUCUGGAUGGAGACCAUCAGUGUUAUGUGGUUAGUUUAUAUUUUCUACUGACUCAUAAAAUAAGAUCUCCUGUUUCAUG